UUGCAGGUACCAUAUGAAUAAGGACCGGCUAAUUCCGUGCCAGCAGCCGCGGUAAUACGGAAGGUCCGGGCGUUAUCCGGAUUUAUUGGGUUUAAAGGGAGCGUAGGCCGGGACUUUAAGCGUGUUGUGAAAUGUAGAUGCUCAACAUCUGAAUUGCAGCGCGAACGGGAGUCCUUGAGUGUGCUGAAAGAUGGCGGAAUUCGUCGUGUAGCGGUGAAAUGCUUAGAUAUGACGAAGAACUCCGAUUGCGAAGGCAGCUGUCUGUAGCAUUACUGACGCUGAUGCUCGAAGGUGCGGGUAUCGAACAGGAUUAGAUACCCUGGUAGUCCGCACAGUAAACGAUGGAUGCUCGUUGUUCCGGCUUCGGCUGGUGCGACCAAGGGAAACCAUUAAGCAUCCCACCUGGGGAGUACGCCGGCAACGGUGAAACUCAAAGGAAUUGACGGGGGCCCGCACAAGCGGAGGAACAUGUGGUUUAAUUCGAUGAUACGCGAGGAACCUUACCCGGGCUCGAACGACAGGGGACGGAACCAGAAAGGUUGUUUCCAUCAGGGACCGCUGUGGAGGUGCUGCAUGGUUGUCGUCAGCUCGUGCCGUGAGGUGUCGGCUUAAGUGCCAUAACGAGCGCAACCCCCAUCUUCAGUUGCCAUCGGGUGAUGCCGGGCACUCUGUAGAGACUGCCAGCGCAAGCUGUGAGGAAGGCGGGGAUGACGUCAAAUCAGCACGGCCCUUACGUCCGGGGCGACACACGUGUUACAAUGGCGGAGAACAGAGGGAAGCCAUAUGGCGACAUAGAGCUGAUCCCAAAAAUCCGUCUCAGUUCGGAUUGGAGUCUGCAACCCGACUCCAUGAAGCUGGAUUCGCUAGUAAUCGCGCAUCAGCCAUGGCGCGGUGAAUACGUUCCCGGGCCUUGUACACACCGCCCGUCAAGCCAUGGAAGCUUGGAGUGCCUGAAGUCCGUGACCGCAAGGAGCGGCCAAGGGUAAGACAAGUGACUGGGGCUAAGUCGUAACAAGGUAGCCGUACCGGAAGGUGCGGCUG
rnacentral:rRNA from 1 species